rnacentral:rRNA from 1 species
CAUUGCCGGCUUGCUGACACAUGCAGUCGAACGGUGAAAGCGGAGCUUGCUCUGCUGGAUCAGUGGCGAACGGGUGAGUAACACGUGAGCAAUCUGCCCCUGACUCUGGGAUAAGCGCUGGAAACGGCGUCUAAUACCGGAUACGAGCUGCGAAGGCAUCUUCAGCAGCUGGAAAGAACUUCGGUCAGGGAUGAGCUCGCGGCCUAUCAGCUAGUUGGUGAGGUAACGGCUCACCAAGGCGUCGACGGGUAGCCGGCCUGAGAGGGUGACCGGCCACACUGGGACUGAGACACGGCCCAGACUCCUACGGGAGGCAGCAGUGGGGAAUAUUGCACAAUGGGCGAAAGCCUGAUGCAGCAACGCCGCGUGAGGGACGACGGCCUUCGGGUUGUAAACCUCUUUUAGCAGGGAAGAAGCGAAAGUGACGGUACCUGCAGAAAAAGCGCCGGCUAACUACGUGCCAGCAGCCGCGGUAAUACGUAGGGCGCAAGCGUUAUCCGGAAUUAUUGGGCGUAAAGAGCUCGUAGGCGGUUUGUCGCGUCUGCUGUGAAAACCCGAGGCUCAACCUCGGGCCUGCAGUGGGUACGGGCAGACUAGAGUGCGGUAGGGGAGAUUGGAAUUCCUGGUGUAGCGGUGGAAUGCGCAGAUAUCAGGAGGAACACCGAUGGCGAAGGCAGAUCUCUGGGCCGUAACUGACGCUGAGGAGCGAAAGGGUGGGAGCAAACAGGCUUAGAUACCCUGGUAGUCCACCCCGUAAACGUUGGGAACUAGUUGUGGGGACCAUUCCACGGGUUUCCGUGACGCAGCUAACGCAUUAAGUUCCCCGCCUGGGGAGUACGGCCGCAAGGCUAAAACUCAAAGGAUUGACGGGGACCCGCACAGCGGGCGGAGCAUGCGAUAUUCCGAAUGCCACGCGAGGAUCAUACCAAAGGCUUGGACACCAAUAUAUACCGGAGA